CAAGCCAUACUGUACACUCCUCUCCAGUCUAGAGUUUUGCUACAUGACCCAAACCAAGCAGGUCAGGACAAAGUAUCUGGUUUCGUUUUGGAUUCAGCAGGUCAAUCCUAAUCUGGGAAACAGCAUGUAUCCUUCAUCAUUCUAUUCAUCCUCUAAUCCUCGGGAUGACAGCCACAGACAUUACCGGGACAAGUGUGCCAGACGACAGCCCUGCAUUGUCAACUGCAACACCCACAGCGAUUCUCAAGGAGAGAAGUGCUCCACAGUAAUCUAAAUACUCCAUGAUCCUCAUCCACCAAUGAAAUGGAGAAGAAGCCAGUCAGAAGUACCAUGGUGCAACUGUUACACACAAUUUGAUUAACAAUCUCAACUUUAAUUCAUUUAAGAUGGAGAUUAUAAAAUCAAUUUACA